GAUGAACGCUAGCGGGAGGCCUAACACAUGCAAGCCGAGCGGUAGAGUUUCUUCGGAAACUUGAGAGCGGCGCACGGGUGCGUAACACGUGUGCAACCUACCUUUAUCUGGGGGAUAGCCUUUCGAAAGGAAGAUUAAUACCCCAUAAUAUAAUGAUUGGCAUCAAUUAUUAUUGAAAACUCCGGUGGAUAGAGAUGGGCACGCGCAAGAUUAGAUAGUUGGUGAGGUAACGGCUCACCAAGUCAAUGAUCUUUAGGGGUCCUGAGAGGGAGAUCCCCCACACUGGUACUGAGACACGGACCAGACUCCUACGGGAGGCAGCAGUGAGGAAUAUUGGACAAUGGGUGAGAGCCUGAUCCAGCCAGCCCGCGUGAAGGAUGACGGUCCUAUGGAUUGUAAACUUCUUUUGUACAGGGAUAAACCUACCCUCGUGAGGGUAGCUGAAGGUACUGUACGAAUAAGCACCGGCUAACUCCGUG
rnacentral:rRNA from 1 species